rnacentral:rRNA from 1 species
UACGAAGGGGGCUAGCGUUGCUCGGAAUCACUGGGCGUAAAGCGCACGUAGGCGGCUUUUUAAGUCAGGGGUGAAAUCCUGGAGUUCAACUCCAGAACUGCCUUUGAUACUGAGAAGCUUGAGUCCGGAAGAGGUGAGUGGAACUCCGAGUGUAGAGGUGAAAUUCGUAGAUAUUCGGAAGAACACCAGUGGCGAAGGCGGCUCACUGGUCCGGUACUGACGCUGAGGUGCGAAAGCGUGGGGAGCAAACCGG